rnacentral:rRNA from 1 species
UUAUAUAUUUUAUUAUUAUUAAAAUAUUUUUAAAGUAUUAUUUAAUUUAUUAUUUUAAUGGAAAAAUUUAUUUUUAUUAUAGUUUAUUAGUAAAGUGAUUGAAGUUUUUUAAAUAUUUAUAAGAAGAAUUUAUUUUUUGUACCUUGUGUAUCAGGGUUGAUAAAUUAAAUGUUAAAAAUUUAAUUUUCUCGAAUUAAAAAGAUCUAAUUAAUUAUUUAUUUAAUUUUUUCAUAAAUUUUUAUAAUUUUUAAUUUGAAAUGAAAUGUUAUUCGUUUUUUAAUAUAUCUAGUUUUUUAAGAAAAGAAUUUAAUUCUCUUAUUAUUAAUUAUUAGUUAAUUUUUAGUUAAUAAUUUUUAGUAUGAAAUAUUUAAGGGGAUGAGCUUUUAAUUAUAAUUCUAUAAAUUAAUUUAUAUAUAUUUUUUGUAUAAUUUGUAUUGUUAAUCAUAUUAAUAAUUUAAUAGUUAAUUUUAUUUAAUUUAAAAUUUUUAUUUUUUUUAGUUUUUAUAUUAAAAAAUUUUGUUUAAUUUUUUAUCUUAAUUUAUAAUGAUUAAAUUAGUAGAUAAAUUUGUAUUUAUUUUUUUUUAUUUUAGGUAAUAAGAAGGAAUUCGGCAAAUAUAUUUUUCGCCUGUUUAUUAAAAACAUGUCUUUUUGAAUAUAAUUUAAGGUUUAAUCUGCUCAAUGAUUAUUUAAAUUGCCGCAGUAUUUUGACUGUGCAAAGGUAGCAUAAUAAUUAGCUUUUUAAUUGAGAGCUGGAAUGAAUGAUUGGACGAGAAAAUUUCUGUCUCUUUAUUAUUUUUAUUUAAUUUUACUUUUAAGUUAAAAGGCUUAAAUUUAAUUAAAAGACGAGAAGACCCUAUAGAGUUUAAUUUUUUUUAUUUUAUAUUUUUUUGGUAUUUAAAAAAUUUAUUUUAUAAUAAAUUUAGUUGGGGUGACUAAAAGAUUAAUCUAACUCUUUAAAUUUGAAUCAAUUAUUUUUGAUUUUUAAAUCUAAUUUUUUAAGUUUAAAAUAAAUUACCUUAGGGAUAACAGCGUAAUUUUCUUUUAAAGUUCAUAUUAAAAGGAAAGUUUGCGACCUCGAUGUUGGAUUAAAAUUUAUUUAUGGUGCAGAAGCUAGAAGAUUAAGUCUGUUCGACUUUUAUAAUUUUACAUGAUCUGAGUUUAAACCGGUGUAAGCCAGGUUGGUUUCUAUCUUUAAUUUUUUAGUAUAUUUUAGUACGAAAGGACCAAAUAUAUAAUAUAUUAUUUUUUAUUGAAUAUUAUU